rnacentral:lncRNA from 1 species
GUUAUAUAUAUUUAAAUUAAUUUUUUAAAAUUAGAUAAUGUUAUGAAAUAACUUGAUGUAUGAAAACAUCACAAAACAGCAUGAAACUAGAACCACAGAAGCAAAAGCAAAACCAAAUAACAACAAACUCAGGACCAAUACUUUUCAUUGCGGAGACAUUUAAAAUGGGGAUGUCCCUCCUAUCAGACUUCUAAUAUUGGACUCUGCCUGGUAUAAAGAGUGCUGCAAAAAGACUUUUUUAGUUUGCAGGUCUCCUUCUUAGCCUCCGACCAAGCCGUCCACACUAUUUAGGGAAGCCUGUGGGCCGGUCUCAGCCUCUGUAUCACAGCUGAGUGAUGAGGCAAAGUUGUUUGCAGAGGGGCUGGAGUCGCCUUUGGUAUCUCAGUGGUUUGUACCUGGGAAUGAGGGUGUGGGAUCUGUUGGGGGCGCCCAGCAAACCUCUCAUGCGGCGAGCCUGUGGACUGCUCUAGUUUGUUGGCCCCAGUUCCAAAGAUCACCAGUCCAUGCUUUUGGAAGCACUCGUGGCUGUUAACUGUCUAUGCAGCAGUGUCACAAUAUUCAAACCAACAUUUUUGUUUUGUAGCAUUUCCCUCCAUCUGGCCAAAUGCAAUCCCCACCAGCUGGGUUUCACAAUACCGGCAGCUGUAUCAGUUGUCUUUCUGGGUCUCCCGUGUCCCGGCCACGGAUCCACACCCUCCUCCCUCACAUUCUUAGCCACGCUGUGUCUCAGUCACUGUUCUCCUGGGCCCAGGCUGACGCCCAGGGAAGGGAUUUCUGUAUUCCUGGAAAGAAGUGGCUGUUGCAUCUUGGAGACAUAAAAAAGGUUUUAUUCAGGGUUCACGCCAACAUCUCAGAAAGCAACACCCGUGGACUCUAUUUUCAUUCAACACAGAUGGAUCUUAUUAUUGCAACAUGUUUGUAGUUUAUAUUUACAUUCAUCUUAAAGAGUGCCUCUACUCUGUUUUCAACAUGAAAGCAAUGUACACAUGCAAACCAAGAGGAGACUUCUGAGGAAGAAUGUGCCAGGGCUGCCAGGGAUUGAACUCGGGUCCUUGGGCUUGCGAGGCAAGUGGCAGAACCACGGAGCUAAAUCCCCAGCCCACAGAACCUGUACUUUUUAAAAGGUUUACACUCUGGUCUUAAGAUGGAUGCCAGGUGGCCCCUUCCUCAUCAAAGAAAAGAUGUGGAGAGGACCUGCUUCUUCCUGGCCCUCAAAGUGAUACUGAGUGGAAUUUUGAAGAUGAGGCUACAUCGCAGCACUUAGACCGUAAUUUACAGGAAGAUAAAGAGAAUGCAUCCAUUAGACAAACAGAAAUCUCAGGUUUCCCAGCGGAUGGACCACAAACAGAAACAGAGGCCAAAACAGAGGCCAGAUCAAAUGCAUGUGAAGAGUGCCCUUCUGGAAUUCCCUUAAAUAUGUGGAACAAAUUUCCAAGAAAUUGCAUAAAAAAGCAUUCUGAAAAGACAACUUCAACUUCAGGAUUCAGAGGGGAGAAGACAAAAACGCUCCGGAAAAGACUGAAGAAUGCAAAAGAAUUGCAGGGUCCUUGAAUGAAACCCAGCGGAGGAGCUUACUCCGUACUUUGGAGCCAGUGAUGGAUUUGAACCUCCUGUUAAAAAGAGAAAGGUUGAAAUGUCAGGCCUUGGAGAGAGGAGAGACUGGGCUGUGCAGGAGUGGCAUGCUGGGAAAGUCACGGAACACGGCAAUAGCUGGCUCCCCGACAGGGCUUGGUGUAAAAAUGGCCAAAGCAAUGGCCUGCCACAAGUUUGUAAAAGCCGAGAGAGGGGCUGAAAACUCACCGACUCCUCAAAGAAAGAAGGAACUUGCAUGAAGGUUUGAAGCAAAGAAGAGACAGGAAACCAAAAGCAGCACGAGGUGCAGGUAACUGGGCAGAAUUCUUCAAGGCACAUAUAGACAUGGGUACUUGAUUUACAGAAAGAUUUUUCCAUGGAAGUUAAAUGUGUCAGGAAAUUGAGAGAAGUAGAAAAAAGCAAGCAUAAAUCUUGGGAGGUGAUUAUCAGCUCUUUUCAGUUUUUUCUAAGGAGCUUAUGCUAUUGAAGUUGAUGACAACUUUAUGUAAGAAAUCUAAGCAUUCAUGCAGGAAAAGAAGAUAGGCCUUUAUUUAUUUGUACAGACCCACAGUAUAUAAAAUCACUUUUGCUUUUUAUCUGUUUUGUAUAGCAUAACCUGUAAGGUCCAUGUGCUUUCUCAUCUGUUCUUGGCAUAACUGGACUUUUUCUGAAAUUAUGGGUUUGUUUUUUUUUUGUAUCAGAGAUUGAAAUCAGGACCUUGCACUUAUGAGGCAGGCACAGUGCCACUGAGCUAAAUACUUGGCCCUGAAAUCAUGUUUUUAAGUUCAACUUUUGUUUAAAAUGGAUUAGUCAUAAGUGCAAAAAAACCUCUCAGUCAUGUUAGUCUCUAAAUUAUGAGAGGGGUCCUAGAAGAAAAAGUGGAAUGAACAUAUUAAAUAGACAGUCAUAACCUAUGGUAACUGAAUCAUCUAAGAACUGGUUUGCUAUUCCUGUCUUUCCCAGUUAUUCCUUAACAAAUUGAAUGAAAUAUUUAUUAAUAAAGAUAAAAAGAAAAAAAGGUUUUACACCCCAACAUGAGUAUCUCCAGUGGGACUGACUGGGAAUACUUAUCAUUUAAAUAGUGAACUUUUAGUUUUUUAUUAGAUGAUUUGUCACUUUCCUCGUAAUUUAUUUUUCUUCCUGCUAAUGGACCAAACUAGUAUUUUAUUCCUGUUAAAAGUAGAUAUGUUCCCUUGUAAAAUUCUGAAAACAUUGAACAGAGGAUGAAAAUGUACAUUAUCCACAGUCUACCUCCCCUGUGUAAAUAUUGCUAAUGUUCUGUAAUAUUACUUUCUAAUAUUUUAAGUAUUUACAUAUUUUGCUCAUUGGGAACAAUAUUAUAUCUUGAUUUUUUUCUCUUAAGAGUUAUUUUCUGAACAUUUCUCAUAUUGUCAAAGAUUCUUUGAAAAAUACUUCUAAAAAGAUACCAGUACUCCUUCUAUCAAAUAAUUGUAUUAUACAUAAUUGAAAUGAUAAUGUAUAGAUUAUUUUACCAUUUGUUACAAAAAAAAUACUGUCAACAGCAUAGUUUAAAAAGUAUACAGUAUCAUUUUUCUUUUUUCUAGAUACUGGAAAUCAAACUUGGGAUCUUGAGCUUCCAGGCAGGUGCCACACCACUGAGCUAAAUCCCUAACCUUCCUGAAGCACUUUUUUUUUUUUUUUGUGGUACCAGGGAUGGAUCAAACUUGGGACCUUGUGCUUUUGAAGCAGGCAGCAGAAACACUAGCUAAAUCCCCAGUCCCUACAGUAGCACUUUUAAAAAAUACUUCAACAUCUGAUUUCCCAGAACACCACAAGCGUCGUGCAAAUGAAUGACAAGAGCUUUCAAUAUCAUAACUGCUGUGUUUAGUGAUUCUUUUACCCGUAUCAAAAAUCUUUAUUGCUGACUUGACCAAAGUUGCAUGGAUUAAAAAUUGCGCUUUUCUGAAAAGUUACCUGGGUGUAAAUAAAUCAAAUAUCCUUUUGCUUGGAGAAUGCAAUAUUCCUAACAUGCAUAGCAACAUCUCUUUUUCCAACAAAUUGGCCUUUCCAGACAGUAGUAGGGACAGGCAUAUAGAGGCCAUGGAUGUCAUGAAAAAACAUGGAAUUUGGGUCAAAAUUAUGUUGUUAUUUUUAUGUGAUACUUUCCUUGUCCCUAAACUAGCUGUUUUAUUAUUUUCUUUUUUCUUAUAAAAAUGGACCCAUAUAAUCCAACAUGGUAGUUAGAAGUUUAUAAAUUAUGCAUGAAUCAAAUUCACAACAUAAAGAGGUGAAACAGGUUUAUGGUUAUAAUGCACAAUUACAUCUAAUUAUACUGUAAAAUUCUGUUUACCACGUGAGCCUGAAUAAGUUGAUUAACCAGUGGGGCUGACUGAUUUCUAAUAUCUUCUUUAGAAACGUUUUUUUUCUUUAGAAACUUAUAAAGCAGUUCUGGCUUCUAAGAAUAAGUGGAUAGAUACAGAAACUCUUUAUAAAACUUUCCAUCUAAUGCUUAUUUUUAAGGAACAUGGCAUGACCAUUUUGUUAUAAACUACUAUAAUUUUUCAUACCUGAUGGGUCUUGAUGGUGUUAAGUAGCAAGUAG